rnacentral:rRNA from 1 species
UACGGGGGGGGCAAGCGUUGUUCGGAAUUACUGGGCGUAAAGGGCUCGUAGGUGGCCUACUAAGUCAGACGUGAAAUCCCUCGGCUUAACCGGGGAACUGCGUCUGAUACUGGAUGGCUUGAGUUUGGGAGAGGGAGGCGGAAUUCCAGGUGUAGCGGUGAAAUGCGUAGAUAUCUGGAGGAACACCGGUGGCGAAGGCGGCAUCCUGGACCAAUACUGACGCUGAGGAGCGAAAGCCAGGGGAGCAAACGGG